rnacentral:rRNA from 1 species
GAUGAACGCUAGCGGGAGGCCUAACACAUGCAAGCCGAGCGGUAUUGUUUCUUCGGAAAUGAGAGAGCGGCGUACGGGUGCGGAACACGUGUGCAACCUGCCUUUAUCUGGGGGAUAGCCUUUCGAAAGGAAGAUUAAUACUCCAUAACAUAUUGAACGGCAUCGUUUGAUAUUGAAAGCUCCGGCGGAUAGAGAUAGGCACGCGCAAGAUUAGCUAGUUGGUGAGGUAACGGCUCACCAAGGCGAUGAUCUUUAGGGGGCCUGAGAGGGUAAUCCCCCACCCUGGUACUGAGACACGGACCAGACUCCUACGGGAGGCAGCAGUGAGGAAUAUUGGUCAAUGGGUGCAAGCCUGAACCAGCCAUCCCGCGUGAAGGACGACUGCCCUAUGGGUUGUAAACUUCUUUUGUAUAGGGAUAAACCUACCCUCGUGAGGGUAGCUGAAGGUACUAUACGAAUAAGCACCGGCUAACUCCGUGCCAGCCGCCGCUGUAAUAC